CCUACGGGAGGCAGCAGUGGGGAAUUGUUCGCAAUGGGCGCAAGCCUGACGACGCAACGCCGCGUGGAGGAUGAAGACCUUCGGGUCGUAAACUCCUUUCGAUCGAGACGAAUGUUUUCCGGGUGAACAAUCCGGAAAAGUGACGGUACUGAGAGAAGAAGCCCCGGCUAACUCUGUGCCAGCAGCCGCGGUAAUACAGGGGGGGUCAAGCGUUGUUCGGAAUUACUGGGCGUAAAGGGCUUGUAGGUGGCCAACUAAGUCAGACGUGAAAUCCCUCAGCUUAACUGGGGAACUGCGUCUGAUACUGGAUGGCUUGAGUUUGGGAGAGGGAUGCGGAAUUCCAGGUGUAGCGGUGAAAUGCGUAGAUAUCUGGAGGAACACCGGUGGCGAAGGCGGCAUCCUGGACCAACACUGACACUGAGGAGCGAAAGCCAGGGGAGCAAACGGGGAUUAGAUACCCCGGUAGUCCUGGCCCUAAACGAUGAUGCUUGGUGUGGCGGUAGUCGUAUCCGUCGUCGUCGCGACGCUACGACAUAAGACAUCCGCCGU
rnacentral:rRNA from 1 species